GUGGAUGAAGAGAGGGUAGGUAGCUGAUCUGUGAUGAACUAAUCGGCCCCUGACA
rnacentral:ncRNA from 14 species